GGUAGAGGUUCCCCUGCAGCCAGCUGAAUUGAUUACGUGUGUUCCACGAUAGUUACUGAGUCCUUCUCUAGGUCAGGUACUGUUCUAAGGAAGAGAGACUUGACAGUGAGUAAAACAGAAUAUCCCUGCUCUCGCAAAGUCCACAUCUAAUAUGUGGAUAGUCUUAGAAGACGGUAAAUCUAUGGAGAAAAGGGGAAGAAGGACAGCCCUGGCUGCCGCUAUCUUAAAUGGCAGUAUUUUGCAGGGGGGGUGGUCAGGGAAGGCCUCACUGAGAAGAAUGACAUUUGAACCAAGGUUUGGAGAAAGAGAACCAACCCUGUGGACGCCGGGGAAGCAGGUUCUAGGUGGAGGAAAUAGUAGGUGGGAACAUUCUAGAAGCAUUUGAAGAAGGAGGCCGGUAGGGCUGCAGGAGGGAGAGCAAGGGAGGGAACAGGGGGAGGUGAAGACGGAGGAGCAGAGCAGGCCCGCUCAGGCCAGGCCACUCUGGGAGCUUUGCUUGGGUUCCACAUGAGUAGGAAGGAAGGUAGGUGUGUGUGCCAUGAUCUCCAGGACACCAUCUUGGAAUACAGUAGAAGCAGACAGCAACGAAGAGGCUAUUGCAAAAAUUCAAGCAAGACAUGAGCAUGGCUCGGUUCAGGAUGUGGGGGGCAGAGGAGUAAGAAUGGUCAGAUUCUAGUUAUCUUUUGAAGGAAGGACUGACAGGCUUGGCUGAUAGACUGUAAGUGGGCUGUGAGCAGCAGAGGAAAGCCCGUCUUUGGCCUGAGCAACUGGAAGGAGAAUUGCCACGGACUGGAAUGGGGGUGGGCUGCGGGGAGAACAGACGUGGCUGGGUGACAGGAGAGAGAGCUUCGAUUCUGAGCCUGUUAAGGUGAUGCCUUAAGAUGUCCACGCAGAGGUGCCACAGAGGCUACUGGCUGGGGAGUAGAGAUGUGCCUGGGGUGCCUGUCAGUGAUUAGCUGGUAUGACAGCCACAGGCCGGUUGAGAUCACAAAGGAAACCAGUGCAGGUAGGGAGGGGGCGGAGAUCAAGGGCUGAGAACUGGGGCGCUCCAACUUCUAGAUGUCAAGUUAAUGAGAAGGAACCUGCAAAGGAGACUGAAUAACAAGCAGCUAAUGAAGGAGAAGGAGAAAGGAGACAGCAGUGUCCGGGAAGUGCGCCUCGCGUGGAUCACGUCACCCGCGAGAAGCAGCAGUGUGCAGGACUGUGUCCUGGAGCAGAGAGCUGACACUGGCAGCCCCCCAAAGGGGGAAGGGAGAAUUGACAUCCCCAGGGCAAGAGAUGCCGGCUGGGUGGAGCCCCAGGAAAGGCCCUAUUGUCAACCUACUGCUGUUUCUUCUCAGGGUCUCUCCUUGACUCUGAGGCUCAGUCUGACUAUCAUUUUGAAUGAGCUCAUCACUCCUACCUAUGCUUGUGCAAGACAUUCUACUUGAUCCCUUCAUUCCAGCUGUUCCUGACUUCAGUCCAACCACAAAAUCAUCCAAGAACUAUUCUGAAAGAACCAUCUGACAGCUGGGUGCGGUGGCACUGUAAUCUCAGUGUCUCGGGAGGCUGAGGCAGGAGGAUCACGAAUUCAAAGCCAGUCUCAGCAAUUU